AUUGAACGCUGGCGGAAUGCUUUACACAUGCAAGUCGAGCGGCAGCACGGGGGCAACCCUGGUGGCGAGCGGCGAACGGGUGAGUAAUACAUCGGAACAUGCCCAGUCGUGGGGGAUAACACUUCGAAAGAAGUGCUAAUACCGCAUACGUCCUGAGGGGGAAAGCGGGGGAUCGCAAGACCUCGCGCGAUUGGAGUGGCCGAUGUCAGAUUAGCUAGUUGGUGGGGUAAAGGCCUACCAAGGCAACGAUCUGUAGCUGGUCUGAGAGGAUGAUCAGCCACACUGGGACUGAGACACGGCCCAGACUCCUACGGGAGGCAGCAGUGGGGAAUUUUGGACAAUGGGGGCAACCCUGAUCCAGCCAUUCCGCGUGAGUGAAGAAGGCCUUCGGGUUGUAAAGCUCUUUCGGCGGGAACGAAACGGUGAGCUCUAACAUAGCUUGCUAAUGACGGUACCUGAAGAAGAAGCACCGGCUAACUACGUG
rnacentral:rRNA from 1 species